UACGUAGGGGGCUAGCGUUGUCCGGAAUCAUUGGGCGUAAAGAGCGCGUAGGCGGCCAGAUAAGUCCGCUGUGAAAGUCGGGGGCUCAACCCUCGAAUGCCGGUGGAUACUGUCGGGCUAGAGUGCGGAAGAGGCGAGUGGAAUUCCUGGUGUAGCGGUGAAAUGCGCAGAUAUCAGGAGGAACACCAAUGGCGAAGGCAGCUCGCUGGGACGUGACUGACGCUGAGACGCGAAAGCGUGGGGAGCAAACAGG
rnacentral:rRNA from 1 species